CAUGCAAGUCGAGCGAAGCGAUCGAGAUGAAGUUUUCGGAUGGAUUCCUGAUUGACUGAGCGGCGGACGGGUGAGUAACGCGUGGGUAACCUGCCUCAUACAGGGGGAUAACAGUUAGAAAUGACUGCUAAUACCGCAUAAGCGCACAGUACCACAUGGUACGGUGUGAAAAACUCCGGUGGUAUGAGAUGGACCCGCGUCUGAUUAGCUAGUUGGUGGGGUAACGGCCCACCAAGGCGACGAUCAGUAGCCGACCUGAGAGGGUGACCGGCCACAUUGGGACUGAGACACGGCCCAAACUCCUACGGGAGGCAGCAGUGGGGAAUAUUGCACAAUGGGGGAAACCCUGGUGCAGCAACGCCGCGUGAGUGAAGAAGUAUUUCGGUAUGUAAAGCUCUAUCAGCAGGGAAGAAAAUGACGGUACCUGACUAAGAAGCCCCGGCUAACUACGUGCCAGCAGCCGCGGUAAUACGUAGGGGGCGAGCGUUAUCCGGAUUUACUGGGUGUAAAGGGAGCGUAGACGGCAGCGCAAGUCUGAAGUGAAAGCCCGGGGCUCAACCCCGGAAUGGCUUUGGAAACUGCGCGGCUAGAGUACCGGAGGGGUAAGCGGAAUUCCUAGUGUAGCGGUGAAAUGCGUAGAUAUUAGGAGGAACACCAGUGGCGAAGGCGGCUUACUGGACGGUAACUGACGUUGAGGCUCGAAAGCGUGGGGAGCAAA
rnacentral:rRNA from 1 species